GCCUAGGUGGCUCAGUUGGUUGAGUGUCCGACUUUGGCUCAGGUCGUAAUCUCACAGUCUGUGAGUUCGAGCCCCACAUUGGGCU
rnacentral:tRNA from 1 species